AUUGUGAUGUCAUCUGAUGACUCGAAAGUCACUUAAACAGACUUUGAAAGACAAGGAUCCAGUUUGCUCUGUGAUAGGACCCCAGAAUCCACUUUGGCUGGUACACGGAACUCCUCAGUUUGGGGUGCAUGACAGGCAUCAGCCAGAAGAGAUAUGAGGGAUUUAAAAAAGAAAUUCCCAUGUAAAUGAAAAAGUCAGUGAGAGAUGGCCAACAAAGUGUGGAUAUCAUCUUAUUGCAAGAGCAGCUGAACUGACCAGGGAAAGGAUCAAACCAGUAACAACAACCAGUGCAGAACAAGUAUACAAGAUCAAGAUAAAGGAACUGAGCAAACAGAACAGAGACAGACUGACCAAGAAUACAGACAUCAUGGUGUACUGUGGAAAGGAACAUGAAAAGCAGAAAGAAAAAUGCCCAGCCUACCGGCAAUGGGCAAAGGUGUGUGGGAAACGGAACCAAUGCAGCAGGCUUUGCAGAAAAUGGCUGUCUUAAGCAGGGAACUGAAUGAGACUAGGGAGGACAUUCCAUGGAAGAAAACGUGAAGACCCUUUGGGAGAAGCAGACAAGCAGUAUAUUAUGACCUAGCAUUACUGGUGGAGCACAGCAACU